CGAGACAAUAACGGAAAACUGACCCAAGAUCAGUACUGUACAUUGGCAACUUAAAGGUGAAAAAAAAAACUUUAAGCCAAUGUAUUGCAGAGCGUGUUCCAGCUAGUCAGCAGCACAAUCGGCUGCAGGGGACAUUACUUUCUGCGUUGUUCGGUUUAUAGAAGAAUAUUAAAUACAUCUAAGAAACGCAUUUACAGGCAGUUUGAAUGUAUAUUCUUAUUGUGUAUGUUGACCUACAACACAAAUGCGCAUCAUGACUUUAACCAAGGCAACUUGAACGUACCCGAUCCUCCCAUGCGAUCAUCCUCUUUCCUGGAGUGAAACACAUUUCUCCUCUGUCAGGCAUAGAGGACUGACUCUAGUGGUACUGCCUGCCCAGAGCGGACACCACCACGGACAAGAACUUCUGGAAGGAUGCCUGAUACUCGGGGGUGAAGGCGGUGCCCAUCUUCGCAGCGAUGACGAUGGUCAGACAGUCAGACAACAGCUGUAAAAGAGAACAAAGCAGAAGAGGGCUGCAAAGACCGAGAGGUACUUGUCCAUGGCUGCGUGCGCGACAGGAUUGAACUCAUCACCCAUGUGAGCCGCCAAAGUCACGAAAAUACAGUGACAAAGAAGCUGUGCGAAAAAUAAACAAAACACAAAGGAACAAAUAACAAACGGCAUGAUGUAGGCCUGUGAUUGAGCUAUAAGAAGGAGGAGGAGCUAUGGGCUGCAUAUUAACAUUUUGGCUCAACAUGUGAAAACCAUUAUCUUCACUUUUUUUGUAAGGAAAGUACUGAAAUUGUAUGUAUGUUGGUUUUAAGGUAAGUGGUAUGCUGUUCGGCUAAAAUAGUGUGCAAAUGUUGAAUCAAUAACAAUAUGAUUACAUUUGACAUGAUCAAUUAGUCCUGAAGUUAUAUGACCCAUACCGGAAUGUGAACUCACAACCUCUGGAUUUGGGGUAACUGAACUUUCUACUGCAUCAAUAAGUCUGAAGCAUUCUCAGAAGUCCCCUAACCAUUCAUGACCUAUAAUAGAUAUCUCCACUGAGCAACAGAAUGCCAUCUGACUGCUAUUUUAGUUAUCAGUUAAUCUGACUAUUUUCUCAUCAAUACUUUAAUUAACUUAUUUAAUCAAUUUGAGGGUUUUCUGUAUAGUUGUCUAAUGUUGGUGGGGCAUUUUAUUCUGUUUUAAUGAUACUCCUGAAUCACCACUAUACAAAGAUGAUAUUUACUUUUAAGUCCAAAGUGUAGGAAUACAGGUGAAUUUAUGGUGGAGUAGCAGGAACAUUGGAAUGCUGUGAACCAAGAGUUUGAGAGUUCAAAUCCCAGAUGAGGACAUGUUGAAUAAUAAUUACUGUAGAAAUGAACAUACACAAAGUAAUCAUGGGUGUCAAAUAUGUACAUUACAUUUCUAAUAUCUGUUGGAACAGUACAUCAAAAGAAAUAGGGGAGGCACCUUGAAUUUGCAGUGGUCUAUACUCAGUUGGUAGGCAGGGUGACCAUCAUGGAGCUGAUGUCUUUGGAACACUCUGCUAUUGCAAGAACAUCAGACUGGGGUCUAAUGUCCAUGGAUGAAGUCUUUUUUUAUUUCACCUUUAUUUAACCAGGUAGGCAAGUUGAGAACAAGUUCUCAUUUACAACUGCGACCUGGACAAGAUAAAGCAAAGCAGUUUG